rnacentral:rRNA from 1 species
UACGUAGGAGGCAAGCGUUGUCCGGAAUUACUGGGUGUAAAGCGCGUGUAGGUGGUGGGCCAAGUCUGUGGUGAAAUCGCCCGGCUCAACUGGGCGGGGUCCGUGGAAACUGGUCGACUGGAGGACGGUAGAGGCGAGUGGAAUUCCCGGUGUAGUGGUGAAAUGCGUAGAGAUCGGGAGGAACACCAGUGGCGAAGGCGGCUUGCUGGGCCGGUCCUGACACUGAGACGCGAAGGCGUGGGGAGCGAACGGG